CACCUUCCGGGAAGUACAAAUUUCGAAUAAAUUAAUUUAGCAAUAACUACAGAAAUCCAACAAAACAGAAAAAGAGGAAAGAGAGGGUAACUGGGGCCUGCACACUCCUUGCUAAGGAAGCUAUACACUUUUUCCGAAGUGAGUAUCCUCACAGGCUUUGAUUUUGCACUCUCUGUUUAGUUUCCCACUUCCAAAUUGCAAAGGAGAGAAGAAAGAUGAUGAAGAAUCAGGGCAAGCAUGUUACUUCGUUGACCACGACACGUUUGUCGCCACUUGCCAAACCCUUCACGCUCAACCGUUCAACCCUCCAACCUUGUUCAAAUUCUCUUUUUUCAGGGUACCCUUUUCUUGAAUCACCAAAAAAAGGCGACUUUGAUGGGUUUGGGGAGGAUUUUUCCUUACCCACUUACUCACCCUUAGGCCAUGGGAAACAAGGGGAGGAUUCUCAUGAGAGUUUGUUUGCCAACGGAAGUGAUCUUGCUGACUCGACCAUGUUUAAGGAAGGUAACCAAGCUGUUCAUGGGUUGAGUCCUUUCCUAACAGAGUCUGCCAGUACUGGUACAGUUGUAGCAGAAAGCCUUCUGUCAAAUUCUAAAGGCACAACACUUGUGGACGAUGAAUCUAGCAUUUUUCCUCUUUUUAAUUGCAAGGUUUCCUCUCUCAAAUCAUUAACAACAGAUAUGUCCUCUGCUAAACAUACUUCUCUGAAUCAGUCUUCAACAAAUUUGGUUGAAAAUGACUCUGAUGUGGAUUCUCCUUGUUGGAAGGGAACCAUGGCUUUUUGUCAAACUCCAGUAGAAAAUUCAGGAUCUAUACAAACUAAUAAUGUAGAGAAAGCAACAGAAAAACAUAACAGUUUAAACCCGUUGGCUCCUCAGUUCUUUCCUCGUAUUGCAUAUGUUAAGGAUGAUUUUGGAUCUUCCAAUUCUGGUUCACCUGUAGCUACUAAUGUUUUCCCCGGAGAGCAUAUGCUCAAGAAAACUGUUAUGGCUGAAUCCCCUGUAGAACUGAAUACAGGGAUUGACCUUCAGCCUUCUAGUAACACCUGUAGAAAGGAAAAGGCAUCUAACACCAUUAAUGAUCCAAAAAAUAGCUAUUUGGAUCCUGCUCUAAAUUUGCAUUGUAAGGUGACACAACCUUCCUCUAAAGAAGAUUGCUCAAUGUCCAUAGGAAAACUUGAAGCUGUUGUGGAUGCAGAUAAUUUUGCCGAGAGAACUAAAGAUCCCAGGGUUUGUAGGUCAAUCAGUGAUGCUUUUACUACAAAGAGCUGUUCUCCAAUUUCAACUCUGGCAUCAUCGUCAUCGAGGGUUGCUGUUGUUACUGAUCUUCUGAAAACAUUUGAAGGUAUUUCAAAGUCCUUAAGUAAAGCUCCAACACCUGAUGUUGGGAUAGUGGUCAGUGCAAUACAUGUUCUUUCAGAAUUGCUGGUGCAAACAUCCAUGGAUGGAGUAGGCCCAAAUAAUGAACAUGGUCAUGAUGAGAUUAUGAUCGAGCAAAUAAUCAAUAAUCUAAAUGAUUUUAGCGCAAAAAGAUGUGUCCAAAGGAUUUCAACCCUUGAGUCAACUGCAGAUAAUCCAUUUUGUCAUAAUAGGUCAUUGGAGCUUCCCAAGGGACUUGAGAUGACAAGUAUAGAGAACCUUAAUGAUCCAAACAAACUUCAUUCACAAAAUGAUUAUACGAAAAAGAAAACAGUUUAUAAAAUGUUUGGUCAGAGUGGAAAGAGUUUUUUGGCCCCUAGCAGUGAUAAAGGCCAUGAAAUUGCUCAGCUUCAGGUCAUUCGGAGAAGUCUAGGGAAAAAACUGGAUUUUGAUAAACACAUGCAUCCAGAGGCUUUACUGUUUUUGAACUUAUGGCUUGAUUCUGAAGCAGAACGAUGUUUUAGCAAAUAUGAAACCUAUCAUUGCCUUAUGGAAGCUGGGCUGGAUGUAAAUUGUACUACUGUUGCGAGUCCCCUUUAAUACACUUUUUCAACACUACUAGGUAAAAUUUAUGUAGGUGACAAUAAAUGAUAUUUGGGACUCAUUAAAAAAGGAAUUAUUGAGCUGAUGGCGCUUUGUAGAUUUGCAAGAGACGCAAUGGAUGCUGCAGUAAUCAGACAUUGUAAAUAUCAUACAUAUUUAUCAUCAGCUAAUUUGAGUACGAGUCUGUAAUUGUACAAAUGCAACAGAUUCACGAAAAUGCGAAGGAUUUGUUAUGUUUGAUGUACUUCUGUCAUGCCUAUAAAAACUUAUAAUUUUUGUUUGAUCUUGGGAAGUUUGCAAAUAGAUGGUAGCAUAUUUCUGUAAAUGACGUAAAUAUCAUGCUGUUAAAUGAUAACGUACUUGUUGAAUGCAUGAAGCUAUUCACGUCA